GAGUACAGUGUGUGCUGUUCUCAACGAACGCCCCCCUCCCAGCACCCUUUAGGUGCUGUGGAUGCCCCUGAAACAAGGCCUCAGACUUGGCUUGGACUAUGGGUUCCAUCCAUAGGGUUGGCCUCAUUGAUCAGCGUUACAGGAAGGCUUCGAGGUGGCUCCCUGUGACCGUGUUGUGAGCAAACCAUUCCUGGCAUCCCACCUUGCAGAACUUGUGGAGAAGAAACAAAAAUAACCCAUAAUCCCACUGUUUUGAUGCCACUUACUGAUAUUUGAAAAGAGGUAAAAAUAAAAUAUGAAGACAGAAAAUCCCAUCAUGUAUCCAAAGGCAUGAAUGAAAAGAAAGAGCCUUCUACCAGGACCUCCUGCACCACCCAAGAGUGCCAUUUUCUCAGGGGCUGAGAAGAGCCCCUCCAACAGGGCAGUGACCCGCUUGCCACAACCCACCUUGGCAAAAGCAGUGGAUAUGCCCCAGGACUCCAGGAAGCAGUGUGGCCUCAGAGAGCUUGGUGAGAAAUGUGUGUGGGAAGCAAAGGGCAGCUGAUGACUCACUGCAUGCCCUUAACUCAGUCUCUUCGACUCCUGAAGCCUCAGUUUCCCCACCUGGGGUAUGGUGAUAAUCACCCACUCAGCCACGAUGCUGGGGAGUGCUAACAGUGCCUCCUGCAGCCACCUCCCAGAUAAACCACCAGUACUCCCAUCCUUGUUGGAGGGCCUGUUUUUAGGAAAACCCUGACUAAGGCAGGAAGCUCCCCGCACUGCAGCAGAGGGAGUCAGGAUGCUGAGCUCUGGGUGCCCCAGCUGUCUGGCUCACCAGCCAUGAGAUGCCAGGGAAUAAGGGAACCCGAGGAGAAGGAGAGAGAUGAGGGACCAGCUCCUCGGUGGAGGACGCAGAAUACACACAUUUAUUGAUGAGGUUUGCCAUCUUUUAUGGGCACAGUUUGUGGCACCACAAAACAAUUACAAUGGUGACUUUGAAGAUUAUUGAUCACAGAUCACCAUAACAGAUAUAAUGAUGAAAAGGUUUGAAAUAUUGUGAAAAUUAUCAGAAUAUAACAACAAGACACAAAGUGGGCACAUGCUGUUGGAAAAAUGAUGCUGAUAGACUCGCUUGACACGGGGUUGCCAGAAACCUUUAAUUUUUUUUUUUAAAUGCAAUAUUUGUGAAGCACACUAAAAUUAGGUGUGCCUGGGUAUUAUUUAGCUCUGCCUGAGUUUUGAACUUUAUAUAAUGGAGUCAUACUGUAUAUUUUCUUCUGUGCCUUGCUUCUUUUGCUCAAGAAUAUAUUUGUUGGAUUCAUCUAUUUUUAAUGUGAGUGUUUGUGGUUCAUUCAUUCUCACUUCUAAAUAAUACUCCAGUGUAUGAAUAUGCUGCAAUUUAUUUGCCCAGCCUACUGCUGGUGGAAAUUUGGGGUUUGAGCUAUUAUGAAUAUUGCUGUGAAUAUGGAUUUAUGAAACUCAAGGUUUGCUACUCCAAGUGUAGCCCUCAGAACAGUGGCAGAUUUUCAGGGUCCUAUCCCAGAUCUACUGAAUUAGAAUUUGCAUAUUAGCAAAAUUGUAUGCAUGCUAGAGUUUGAUAAGCACUGCUCUAUGUACCUAGGUUUACACUGAGAAGUAGAGUUGUUGAUCCUAAGGUAACCAUGCAUUAAAUCUUACAAUGAACAGGCAAACUGUUUUCCAAAAUGGUUAUGCCCAUUCCCACUCUACCCUAGUGAAGGACCAGAGUUUCUGUUGGCCCA
rnacentral:lncRNA from 10 species